rnacentral:misc_RNA from 1 species
AGUCAGGAGGCUCCUGAUCUUGCUAAUGGGUUGAAAGCUGAUUAGGUGGAUUGAAAAGAUUUAGAAACAUUGAGAAUAUUGCCAUUAGCCAAUUCCACAGCAUUAUAUNNNNNNNNNNAAUCAGAAACAAAACUGAUUCAAUUAGCUAAUUAACAUGUUUGAUUGACAUGAUCAAGCAGCAUGUUGUAUUAUUUGCAUUUUUGGCAAUGGCUGUCCAUUUGUUGCUGUUACAUCUGCUCCGUUUGGUGUAAGCUACUAAAAUAAGGA